GUAGGUGGCAAGCGUUGUCCGGAAUUAUUGGGCGUAAAGCGCGCGCAGGCGGUUCUUUAAGUCUGAUGUGAAAGCCCACGGCUCAACCGUGGAGGGUCAUUGGAAACUGGAGAACUUGAGUACAGAAGAGGAAGGCGGAAUUCCACGUGUAGCGGUGAAAUGCGUAGAGAUGUGGAGGAACACCAGUGGCGAAGGCGGCUUUCUGGUCUGUAACUGACGCUGAGGCGCGAAAGCGUGGGGAGCAAACAGGGAUUAGAUACCCUGGUAGUCCACGCCGUAAACGAUGAGUGCUAAGUGUUAGGGGGUUUCCGCCCCCUUAGUGCUGCAGCUAACGCAUUAAGCACUCCGCCUGGGGAGUACGGCCGCAAGGCUG
rnacentral:rRNA from 1 species